GUGGAAAGUUUUUUCGGCUGGGGAUGGGCCCGCGGCCUAUCAGCUUGUUGGUGGGGUGAUGGCCUACCAAGGCGGCGACGGGUAGCCGGCCUGAGAGGGCGACCGGCCACACUGGGACUGAGACACGGCCCAGACUCCUACGGGAGGCAGCAGUGGGGAAUAUUGCGSAAUGGGYGGAAGMCUGACGCAGCGACGCCGCGUGGGGGAUGACGGCCUUCGGGUUGUAAACCUCUUUCGACCGGGACGAAGAGGGAUUGACGGUACCGGUAGAAGAAGCACCGGCCAACUACGUGCCAGCAGCCGCGGUAAUACGUAGGGUGCGAGCGUUGUCCGGAAUUAUUGGGCGUAAAGAGCUCGUAGGCGGUGUGUCGCGUCGAUCGUGAAAACUUUCAGCUUAACUGGGAGCUUGCGGUCGAUACGGGCAUCACUGGAGUUCGGCAGGGGAGACUGGAAUUCAAGGUGUAGCGGUGAAAUGCGCAGAUAUCUUGAGGAACACCGGUGGCGAAGGCGGGUCUCUGGGCCGAUACUGACGCUGAGGAGCGAAAGCGUGGGGAGCGAACAGGAUUAGAUACCCUGGUAGUCCACGCCGUAAACGGUGGGCGCUAGGUGUGGGGGCCAUUCCACGGUCUCUGUGC
rnacentral:rRNA from 1 species